CCUUGACAAGCAAGCCGAUGUUUGAUGCUGGAUUAAAUCGUCUUUUGUUGACAUUAUCGUCAAUGCUUUAAACUGCUAAGUGUUAUCGGGUGUACAGUAUUUGUUGUAUAGGUUGUGCUACGACGACAGGAGCAUCGAGAAGCGGAUGUUCAGUAUUGUCGGCCAUAAAGUAGAAAGCACUACUAAACGUUGCUGCACUGUGUAGUGUUUCCUACUUUAUGGAUGACGAGACUGUUGGCUGCAAAGGAGCGAUACACCAAGGAGCGACGUCGUCUCAUUCAAUUGAAAAUGGAAUAUAAAUUGAUGCUGUUGUUAGUUUUUCUUUUUUUUUUUUCCUCUAUAGCGAAAAAAAAUCUAAUAAGCACUGCUUAAAAUGUUGGUCUUUAUUUGCAAAAGCAGGAGAGACAUUGCUUAAAUAUUGAAACAGAAUACAAAAAAGAUUAAAUACAAUAAUUUGCUCAAUAUUUAUCUGACAUCUGGUAUUUUUUUCACAUAGUACGGUGCAACAAAGCUUAAAAAGUAUAAUACAACUGUACAAGGCCAAAAUAAAAAAUGUAUAAAAAAUAUAUACAAAAAUGUUGAACAAUGUAAGCUGUUGUGUUAUUUCUAAAUACAUUUCUUACAAAAAGUGAUUUUUUUUUUUUAGUUUGUAUGUUUUUUUUGUACAAGUGGUUUGUUUCAAUAAAAGUGCACAGGUAACUCUGUUGUUAAUCAGUGUCUUGUUGUGCAUAUGGAUUAGGUUAGAACUGGUUAAUUAAUUUAGAUUUAAUUAGCAUUGGCGGGAUAGAAUUGUUCAUGUGUAUUCAUUAGCAAACAAGCUAAUAUUUUAAUCCCACGGUAAAAGCUGCAGGAAGUUGGACGGGACCAAGCCUCGUCUUCCUUUAAGGUCACCCUGAAAAAGAACGAGUUUGUCAGCAAACAAACUACAGAAAAUUGCAAAAGUCUUAAAUGACAAGAUGCUCACGUAAUAGAAUCCGUCUGGAUCCAUGUCUCCUAAAACAUAAAUGAUGUCACCCGAACAAAAGCCCAGUUCAUUCUGUUGGAGAAAUCAUGACAUCUUAAAUUAGAGACAUUUUAGAUGAAAUGUUAUUUAAUGUAUUGGUACUUAUUUCACGUACUUCACUGUCAACAUUAGGAGAACUUUCCCAGGGGUCGUAGUCAAAUAUGGCCACCAUUCGGCGUACUACCGUGCCUUCGGGAACACUGGACACCUCGCUCACAUCCGGAGUCAAAGACAUUCCUACAGGAACCAACACAAUGAAAAAAACAACUAAUCAACGAAGAAAUUAACAAACAAAGUAAUAAAGUACACAAACUAAUAGCAUUUCUACAAGCAUCUAAUUUGAAUAACAAAUAAAUAACAAACAUGCUAGUAACUAAACAACUAAUAAUAUGAAUAACUAACCGAAAUAACGUAAGAAACAAAUCAACUAUAGAAAAAACUAAAGAGAAAUGGCAUAAAUUAAGAAGUUAAAGUUAAAGUACCACUGAUAGUCACACACACACUAGGUGUGGGGAAAUUUGUCCUCCGUAUUUGACGCAUGGCCUUGUUCCCCCCCUGGAAGGUGAGGGGAGCAGUGAUUAGCAACGGUGGCCGUGCUCGGGAAUAAUUUUUUGUGAUUUAACCCCCAAUUCCAACCCUUGAUGCUGAGUGCCAAGCAGCGAGGGAUGAAGCCCUGCUGCAUGAGCAGAUGCUUGAGAUAGUCGUCAUCCACUGGGACUUCGGCCACCAUGUUACUCGGCACGUAGCCCGAGAGGCCGCCCGAUUCUCCGUGGUAGAAGCCGUCGCAGUCUUUGUCCCCGAACACCUAGACAGGUGCAAAGACACUCGGCUGUUGCGGUUUGUUGUUGGCGACCGAUAAACAGGCGCAGCUGCUGACAUCUUCAGUUAAAUGGCGGUAAGUUUAAACAGGAAGUGAGAAGAAAUGUGCUCAUUCAAGCGAAAGAAAACAGGAAACUGUUUGAUCCUGUCAGGGAUACUUCAGUGGCGACGCUUGCACAGUCUGACAUGAUUAAUUUCAAAAACAUUUUGCAAACGUUCCCUUUUUUUUUCAAGAAAAUGUAACUAUGUUCUUAUAUGUGUAUUUCUUAUAUCUUGUAUUAACAUUUUUCUUAAAAAGAUGUGAUUUUUUUUUGUGAUACUUCACAACUUUUUCGCAACAAUAUAUAACAGGGUUAUCGUGAUAGCAGACUCAAUUGAAUUUUCACGAUUCGAUUUGAUCCCACAAUAAAAAAUAAAACAAACUAAUUAAAA